GGCUUGCACAGAAAAAGUCCUUAGCUAUACUAAUUUUCCUGUUUAAUCUUUUUUUUAAAUUUUUAUUUAAUUAGGAAGUUUUGGUUUCAUUGUUUCUAGCUUUUAAUAUGUUCUUUGACUAUCCUCAUUUAUUUGAAAACCCAACAUGUAGUACAGCCUUCUGCUUUCUUGAAGACCAUGUCCAGCAACAUUAUUUUAACGUGGUAGUGGAAAAACAAUUCAUCAAAGAGGUCUUUUGCUGCUUUGUGAUCCUCAUGCCAGAAAGGCCAUCACACAAAAAGCCUUCAGGCUCUAAAGGGAAACUGGAGAUAAGCAUGGAAGUAUUUAGGUCGGAGCAAGAUGCCUUGAAAGGAAAGAAAGAGACAUCUUGGAGAACUGAGUUCUGGAACAAUCUCUGAAUAACUUCCUACAAGAAUGACUUCAUGUAAUUUAUUGUAGCUGCAUGAAGUUAGGAUCUUCAGGUUUCACUUCUAUCAAACACUUGCAUACUGAAUGCUUUAAUUCUGAAAAUAUGACUUAUAAAAGCUUCAACACUGAUAAAGAAAAGAAUCCCCAAGAUCAAAGAGCAGGUAACAGAUGAAAGAACACUGGAGAGUGCCUUCAAGGAUUAGCAAGGGGUCUCAAGGAAAAAGGCACCAAAAACUCAGACACCUGCAGAGGGAAAAAAUAAGCUGAACUAUAUGGGAAACAAUGACUGCUUAUUUAGGCAAAAGCUUAAUUUUUGAUGGUGGUGUGAGAGAGAAUACACAGGAAGAAAAAAAUUUUUUUUGCCAUUGUCCUGAAGACAAAACCAGAAAUAAUGGCAUCCAUUGACCCUAUGUUAGAGGAUUUAUUAUUUACGAUUCUUGAGAUGAAAUGUAAAAUAGUUCAUGUUCUUCAUUCAGUCCUGUGACUUGGAGUGUAGGGAAUGAAUUUUCUUUUCCAGUGUUUUCAGGCUGUGCUAAGAAAUCUUAAUGUUUCUGUAGCAAACCUAAUAGUUACAUAAUCAUCUGUUUCAAUUAAGCAACUUAAAUCAUACCAUAAGCACAUAACGAAAUGCUGACCUACAAUAAAUCAUCUUUUCAAACAGUACCUUUAGAUAAUAAGCAUAACAAAUUCCUAAGAUGGAUCCGAUUAUUUAAUGAAAAGUCUUCCUGCUGAGUUUAGUUAGCUUUCGUUCUCGCUAUGGAAUAAAAGUGCUACUGAAUUCUAGGUCGUUAUUGCAUCUUUCUCUAAUAUACAAUUAGAGAACCUAUCCACUGGAGUUUGAUGGCAGUAACCUGUUCUACUUCACUGGAGAUGUGGAGUCUAACAACUUUGCCGUGUAGCAGCCGAGAGCAUCCUUUGGCUCACUGCAGACAAGGAGUCGAUAAAAGCUGAGUAAGAGCUAAUAUUGGCUUAUACUGCAUGAAUGAUUUUCACUGCCUUCAAUUUGUUUAAUUCUUCUCUCCUUGAGCCAUCACAGAUUUUUAACAUCUGGAUGACUUGGUUACUUUUUAAAAAUGUUUGUGCAAAUAAGGACUGUUUUUGAAUAGUGAAUGCAUUCAGUGUUCCACUGAAUUUUUUUUAAGUGGCUACUUUUUUAAAGGGUUCUUAAUUAUUUCCUACAUUCAGUAUCCUGUGACCCUUGUAAAGGUGAUGUGAACAAUUCAUUAUUGCAUGUGCCUUGAGUUAAAGAAAAUAUUUACUUGUUUUAUUCUA